rnacentral:lncRNA from 10 species
AUCUGGAGUUGCUCAAAUGGAGUGGCUGUGGCCAUCUUUCCUUACACGUGGGGAGGAAUCAGCCUGAGAAUGAAACCAUCACAGGAAAGGGCUGAAAGACGGUGAGUGUGUGCUUUCUAAGGGCAGCAUUUGGGCCUUGGCCCCAGCCGGCCCUGAAGCCAGCACAACCCCCGGAACGUCUCAAUUUGUGAGCCAAUAAAUGCCCUUGAUGGUUUAGGCAAGUUUUCACUGGGUCUUACCCGACGUGAGCCCCCACUCCUCCAUAUGGACCUGUUUUGGACCAAUGAGGCAUCCUCUUCUGUAGUCCUCAACACGCGGAGCUCCACCACUCCUGAGCAGUGUGACCUCAGGUGGGGUUGGGGAGAGGCCUCGGGAUGGCAAGGACCAGGGUCUGCGGCCAAGCCUGUGGGUCCUGUCUCCCUCUAGGAUGCCCCUGGGACACUGGUACCCAUGGAUGCACUGGGUGACUUGAGGUCAAUGGCUUUCUCUCUCCAGACCUAGGCAGAAAAAGCAAUCUGCUUUGCAUCAGAGAACCUCAAGAGGCUCUUAAUCCUGCUCUUUUCUCCCUCUGGGCUCCCUCCGUGAUGAGCUCAUCUGACCUCCUGGCAACCCCGAAGGGUGGUUUAGAGCAGGGAAUCAGCCUCCCGAUUUACAGAAAGGAUAACUCAGGCCAGGGAAGCGACUUGGACAGGGUCCUGCAGGGACUCAGUGAAGGAGGCUUCGGAACCCAGCCUGUCUUCCAGCAGGCCAGGAAUCAGCAAAUCUGGCUACCUGUUUUUUUAUUUUUAUUUAUUUAUUUAUUUUGAGACAAAGUCUCGCUCUUGUCAUCCAGGCUGGAGUGCAAUGGCAUGAUCUCGGCUCACUGCAACCUCCGCCUCUGGGGCUCAAGCGAUUCUCCUGCCUCAGCCUCCUGAGUA